UAGGGAAUAUUGGACAAUGGGGGCAACCCUGAUCCAGCCAUGCCGCGUGAGUGAAGAAGGCCCUCGGGUUGUAAAGCUCUUUUGUCCGGAAAGAAAAGCUUCGGGCUAAUACCCCGGGGUUCUGACGGUACCGGAAGAAUAAGCACCGGCUAACUUCGUGCCAGCAGCCGCGGUAAUACGAAGGGUGCAAGCGUUACUCGGAAUUACUGGGCGUAAAGCGUGCGUAGGUGGUUGUUUAAGUCUGAUGUGAAAGCCCUGGGCUCAACCGGGGAACGGCAGUGGAAACUGGGCAGCUAGAGUGCGGUAGAGGGUAGUGGAAUUCCCGGUGUAGCAGAGAAAUGCGUAGAGAUCGGGAGGAACAUCUGUGGCGAAGGCGACUGCCUGGACCAGCACCGACACUGAGGCACGAAAGCGUGGGGA
rnacentral:rRNA from 1 species